GUUCUCAACUCAUGGCCUCUGGCUAUAUGCUGAUGAGCUUGGAUUCAAACAUGAAUAAGGCCUAGAUUUUCUGUUUUUAUCCUUGAAUUCCUUACACUAUGCAUUUUUACUUACAUCUGUAAGCCUCGUGGAAUACUUCAUGGAACACGAGAAGUUUUAUAUCCCUUUUCUUAA